rnacentral:lncRNA from 1 species
CAGUCAGAGCUAGAGGCUUUCCCCUACUGCAGGUAGUUGUUGUUUUGGAGUUUAUGUACAUAGUUGUUUAACUCGCCAAUGCGAGUAGCCUUGUAUUUUGGAUUCUAGCUAUGUAUAUGAAACUCAGUUAUUUAGUUUUUGAGCAGCUCUAUGCUACUGUUUGUAGUAUCGUAUUUCUUCAGGUACUUUGACGCUUCGUAUACAGGGGAAAUUCCUUUGUAUACGGCGGAUUUGUCGGCGUGCCCGGGGAACGAGAUAUCCGGGGCGUGACACUAGUCCUCCAAAGGAUUUCUUCCUCCUUUAAGAUAAGCUGGAGUUGUGAUUUGAGCUCAGCCCGCUUGUCCAGUGUAUCCUGAGGCAAGUUUUGUAGUUUCUCUAGUUGGUCAAUAGUUUGAAGUUCCGUCAGUAAGUGCUUCUUAGCUAGGGAGAUGCAGUGGAAGUGCGUCCUGCACCAUUCUUUUAUUCAAACUCUGCAGUGCCUAAGCUUAGCCGUGAUAGCGAGGAUGGCCGAAUUCUUGCGAGAGACUUCGUUCCACUAGGCCGGUACAUUGGAAAUGAAAUCCUCCUUAGUGAGCCAAACAUGCUCAAAUCGGAAUCAUCGUGGCGCGGGAGGGAGCCCCGUUGUAAGCAUGAUCGUGGUAUGGUCAGAAGUGAUCCUAGGGAAAGUUUUAACUUUGCAAAGAGGGAAGGAUUGGUCCCAUUCCGUUGAGACAAGGAAUCUGUCGAGCUUGGCCAGGGAGGGUCUGUGUUGCAUAUUCGACUAAGUAAAAUUUUGAUUAGACAAAGGUAGAUCGAUGACCGCGAGAUUACUGAUGAGGUCAGAGAACAUGGCCAUAGCUUUAGAACUCCAAGGGUUUCCUUUCCUUUCAGAUUGGUUCGUCGUGAAGUUGAAGUCUCCACAUAUUACCCAAUUGGAAGAGUAUGUGUUAUUGAGGGAGAGCAGUUCGGAACAAAACUCGUCUUUGCCAUCCCAUGAUGGAGGCCCGUAGACGUUCGUGACCUAGAAGGAUUUUCCACUUGCGAGGUGAGUUAAGUAGAGAGUCAGCGAGUACCUUCGCACUAAAACUUCGGAGCAUCAAAAGAAUUUCAAACUCCAACACGUGAUUAAGCCACCGGAAGCCCCUAUUGCAAUGAUGAAGCUCUAAAGCAUCGAAAGUCAUUGUACAUUUAUCCAAAAAAAACUAUGUACUUUCCAUUUUGCUCUUAGAAAUUGGACAAAAUGUGUUAGAAUUAUCUAUACUUUUACAUAAGUCAUGAGUUCAAUUUUCAUAUGCUGUGAAUUUUGUGCGGGUUUGAUUUCUGCAUAUUGCGAAUUUAUAUAGGUCUUAGGGAAAGGGAGAAUUGGUGGGAUAAUCAUCCUGUCCUACGGCGGGAGGUCGGGAUAGGUCGAGUUAUGUUCAAAGCGACGGAAGGCUGGUUGGACCUAGUUAUUGUUGGCUUAAAGAGACUAGCAUCCUGUCUUAUAGUGGGAGGUCGGGUUGGAUUGAAUCAUAUUUGAAAUAGCGAGAGGCUGAUUAGGCCAAAUUAAUUGAGACUCUUGAGUGAUGUGUCUGUUCGCUUCAAGUAAAUUGGUUAUAUUUUUUUAAUAGCUUGAGCUUUUGAAAUUAAUUGUUAGUGCCAAUGAUCCGACAAAAUUUUCCAUCCAAAUAUUCAAAAUUUUGCUAUUGGCCACCUAGGUUCGUAUUUUUAACAACAUGAAAUGACUAAUAUUACUAAAAUGAUCAAGAAACAAUAAGAACAUAUUCUAACAGUGGAGAAGUAUUUUUUUGAUAUUAAAAUUUAGUUUGCAGUACACAAAUUGAUUCUUAGGCUUCGUUUGGAAUUGCGGGGAGAUUGCGUUACGUGUGGUGAGAAAGUACGUUGGAAAAAUACCCUGUUUGUUUCCGUAAUAUUGCGUUCCGCAUAUCGCGAUGAGUCGGUUACGAUAUAUUUUUUGCGAUCCCACCGGAGAACGCAGAAGCAUAUCCCUAUAUGCUUUUUUCUCAACUCGAUUUUAUCUAAUAGCGUUAGAUAGACCUCAAUACCAAACUAAGCCUUAGUACUUGAAUUAAAUGUGAUAAUUAUAGUCAUGUAUACUCAUGAAAUUGAUUUUUGAUAUCAAGAAGACAUAUAUAUAACUAACAUGCAUCGUUUAUGUUUGUUGACCCAGUGGCUAAUACUAAUCAUUUUAAAAUUUCAAAAUACGAAUCAAGAUGAUUAAUUGCAAAAUUUUAAAAGAUUAGAUGAUAAAUAAAAAGUUUUAAAAGUUUAGGUGGCUACCUAUAAAUGGGUAAGAAUUGAACGGUUUUGAUUACUUUGGCCCUUAUAAAGUUGUUAGUUGCUUCAUUGAAAGCCCUCUUCCUGAAAAAUAUAUUAAAAUUAGUGUAGUAACUCGUGCGAUACGGUGGAUAGAUAAUAGAAGAAAAAACAGAAAAUAUUGAAGAGGAAAAAGAAAGGACUUUGGAAAAUAAAAAUUCAAGCGUGUGUGUGUGUUUUUUUUUUUUAGUGAAAUGUAUGAAUUGAACUAACCAAUAUGACUAUUUAAAACAGAUAACUGCCCAGAAUAAUCAUUCAAAUGAAAAACCUGUAAAGAUCGUAUGAAGAUGGAGAUGAUAAUGUUGCGAUGAUGACGACGAUAGCGAUGAAAACCUUAUAAAAGUUUGCAGAAUUUUGCCGCCUUUUGGAUAUGGGAUGGUCAGAAGUUGCGGACCAGAAUUGCCACAUCAAUUAUGAAAUUAAAACUAACCUCUAAAUUAAUCAAAAUAAUGCAUAUAAAUAAAAUCCUUGGUUGAUGCAACCACCAAAUCAAAAACAAUGCAAAUAAAUUAAAUCCUAAGUGGAUACAUAGAAAGAAUUCAAGAUUAAAAUAAAGAAAAGAAAAAUUAGGUUUAGGGUUUCGUUUUCCAAACCUACUCCUCAAUCCGUACAUUAUUGUUGUCCAAUUAGCUUACUCUACUGAAAAAGCCGUUCGAUUACCUUCUUUUUCCAUAAUCUGAAGAGAUCGACAUAGAUAAAAACCCUAGAAGCACUUUCUUGAUUAGGGAUGGUCGAGUCGAGUUAGCUUGGCACGGAUUAGGGCUUUUAGGAUUUUCUUGCUCUUCCCCAAUCUCUAGAUCUGAAAGUAAUAACUAUUUAUCUUCUUCUCUUUUAAUUUUGUAGGUUAUGAAUUGUUUAAAAGAGAAGAAAGGACUAAUAUUUUUUUUGAGAGAUAGGUAGCACGCUACCCGCUUUGUUUAUUUCAUUUAGAAAUAAACUUAGUUAGAAAUGUGAAUCAACUAGGAUUCGAACUUGGGUCUCGGGUACUAACCACCAAGCCCUUUGCCACUUGCUCUAGGGACGGUCGGUAAGAAAGGACUAAUAUUGAAGAGGAAAAAAUUGGAACGUAUAAAUUAAAGAGCACAUUGAUUACAGGUCAUUGAAUAGAAAGGAGGGGAAGGGAAAAGCCAAGAGUAAAGAUUAGUUUAAAAAAAAGUUAGUGAGGGUAAAGGAAAACUUACCACGUGGCAAAAAUAUUGAAAAUUCAUAUAGGUUGAAUAGAGAGGAGGGGAGGAGAAAAGCCAAGAGUAAAGAUCAGUUCAAAAAAAGAGCUAGUAAGGAUGAAGAAAAAUUUGCUACGUGACAAAAAUAUUUAGAAUUCAUAUAGGUUAAUAGACGAUUUCACAGUUACGAAGUAUUACGUCCCCUUGCACAAUUAUUGAAAUGGCAGUGCAAUACCGCAUAUUGUAGCUAUCUUUAGUUUCCUCAGUCAUCGACUCUUCAAUUAAAUAAGCUUAAACUAAAAGAAAAUAAUCCACAAUUGUUGAUAUGGCAGUACUCUCGCGCUCAUUGUAGCAAUCUUAGCCAGGUUUCCUUAAUCAUCAACUCUCAAUUUAAUAAACUUAACUUAAAAUAAUUGUCCAGGUCCGAAAAGUUGGGAGAGAGAGAACUUUCUUCUUUUUUCUUUUUUCUUUUUUUUUUUUUUUUUUUUUUUAAGAAAUCUGGUAGGCACCACGCUAGCCAACCAACAAAUCAACUAUGUGCACAGUGCUCAAAAGAAAUAGAACACUCAAGGAAGUACCUAGUUAAGACAAAUGAUUAGUUUUUUGGGCAACUGGAUAUUCCAAUCAAUCUCUUUAAUAAGCAUUUGAAAUUGUGAUUAAAAAAUCAUCAAUUGUAGAAUCUUUUCUUGAGAAGAUGUGCAUUUGUAUGUGCUUCAAAAUUGAUGGAAACUAAAUUGUAGUUAUUUUCAGCAAUAUUAAGUCAAUUAAUUAAGAUUGAUAAAGAGAAAAUACAGAAAAUAAUUAAGCUGGACAGUUGAACGAUGUGUGCGCUCAGAUAAGCAAAGCUGAACGAAAAUUUAAGAGAAAUUGAUUUAACAACAUACUAGCGCAAACUGUACUCAGCAAUUGCAUAGUAACUAUAAGAAACUUGUCCUCCAAGAAUAAAUUUUAUUAGUUUUGUCGCUAUUGCGGCUUUGCUCGGUCUUUGCUCUUGAUCUAAUCGAUUCUUGAAUAGAAAGUUAAAGGCUGAUCUAUUCCAAAUAUUAUUUAUAAUUUGUUAUAAUGAUUUAAACAGGUGAAGCCCAGAGCGAGCUCAGCCAGAAUGGCAUAUCUUGCACGUCUGAUAGGAGCUCCGAUGUAUGCAUCACCUCAGCCGCCGUGAGGAUAGCCACAUCUGCCUCCUCCUCCUCCCACUCGUUGUCCGCAGUCUACCUUGUCGGCAACCAACAAUUGCCUCGCAACUCCGACAUUAUUUUCCGCCCGUAUCCAAGGAAGUUCGACCCUGAAGCAAUGCAGGAAACUUCGCCUAUUCAAAUCGUCGGCGGCCAUCCGAACCCCCCGCCCUGCGACAUCACCCACCCCCUCCCUGCCGUCAUCUUCUCCACCGGUGGCUUCGCCGGCAACUUCUUCCACGAUAUCAACGAUCUCAUCAUCCCCUUAUUCCUCACGACGGGCCACCUCCGCUCCCGCAUCCGCCUCGUUGCCACAGACUUCAGACCUUGGUGGGCGCACAAGUACCGCCGCGUCCUCUCCCGCCUCGCUGCGGAUGAAAUUAUAGCCGCCUCUUCCGCCUUCGCUGACGUCGGCCCUGCCAAAGUCCACUGCUUCCCAGCAGCCAUUGUUGGCCUCAAGUACCACGGAAACCUUGCAUGCAACGUGUCCGACGCUCCGAGCGGCAUCUCCGUGCAGAAGUUCCGUCGCUUCCUCCACGAGGCCCUCUCCCUCAAGGCGGAUCGGGUAGUUCGAGCCGAGGAGCCGACCGUGGUCCUCAUCUCGCGGCGUAACUCACGAGCGCUGCUAAAUGAAGACGAAAUAAUUGAGACGGCGAGAGAGAUCGGCUUCCGCGUGGAGAUUGCCGCUCCGAAGAGAAUGUGGAAGAUGGAAAGCUUCGCGGAGCUGGUAAACGGAUGUGGGGUCUUGAUGGGGGUUCAUGGUGCUGGACUGACGAAUAUGGUAUUCCUUCCGCCGGGGGCUGUACUGCUGCAAGUGGUGCCGUGGGGGCUCGACUGGGCGUCGGAGGUGUACUAUGGUCAGCCGGCACAACAAAUGGGGCUACAGUAUGUUGAGUACCACAUAGAGGUGCAGGAGAGUACCUUGUACGACAAGUACCCAGGGGAUCAUCCAAUUCUCGCCGAUCCGUGGUCGAUCAACAAUCAAGGAUACAACGUGAGCAAGCCGGUGUACGUUGAUGGGCAGAAUUUGAGACUAAAUUUGACGCGGUUCAGGGAGACACUGCUGCUAGCUUUCCAAUUGCUCCCGCGACCAUCGUGAGUAUGCCGAUUAAGGGCGAACAAUUAAUUAAACAAGAAAAAACAAUUCUAUCUGCUCGAUGCCAUUAUGUGAAUAAUAUACCGAGAAAUUAAGUCUUCUUAAAUCUUAAUUAAUACCGAUUAUUAAUUUCUUGUUAGACGUGUCACUGUUAACCGGUCAGAGUGCCAUUUCUUGGACAUCUAAUUAAUUCUUUCAAAAAAUUUAAAAAGGGUAAAUGAAAGAAAUCUCAAUAAGGCUAUUUUAGUUUGAUGACAGUGUCUUCUUGGCGCGUGAUAUGAUCCACGAAAUAAAAUUGUUCACAGAAGACUCUUCUGAAUAUUUAAAGAAUGAACAACUACUUAAUUAUGAACAUAUUACAUGCCGUUCAUGUCGCGCUUGUAACUAGCUAGAAUUGUAAUUGAUAAUCAAUUUGUCAUAUUCCAGUUCCUUUCAUGAGUAUAAGUUUCAUUUUCAAAUAUAUAAAUGUGCACACCAAAUCGUAUAAAAUGCAAACAACUAUUUUAGAGACUAAACAAAAUGUAAGUGGGAUGUAUUGGUAUCUGCCGGAUUAUUCAUUCCUCUUUAGGGCUACAUUUGGUACCGAAAUAUCUCGGAACAACACGGGAACAACACGGGAUAUUUCUCAAUUUGCAACCAAACGUACGGUAGAAGAAAAGGGGGGGAACGGAUUAUUCCGAUCAAAAUAAGUUGUUUUGGGUUGUUCUGCAUCAACCCAUUAAAAUUUGUACCCACGGAAAGUGAGAACAACUUUUUUUUUUUUUUUCUCUUUAUUUUAUUAAAUAAAUAGAUAUAUAAAUAAAAAUAUUAAUAUAUAUAAAUAUUAUUUUUAUGAUAAUAUAUUUAUACUUAAAUUUUAUUAUAUAAUAUAAAUUAAUUAAAUUUGAUAUAUUAUUUAUUUUAUUAAGUUUUAUCAUAUAUAUAUUAAUAUAUAAUUAUUUUAAUUUAUAUUAAGUAUUAUAUAUAUAUAUAAUUAUUUUUUCAGUAUUAUAUAUUUUUUAAUUUGUAUUGAAAUUUAUACUAUUAUUAAUUAAAAUUAUAAGGAUACCGUUACAUAUGUUAUGAAUAAAUUAUAUAAAAUAAAUUACUAUUAUAUAUAGUAAAUAAAUAUACUAUUUUAAAUUAAAUUGUUACAUAAAAUAUUAUAUUAUAAAUUACUAUAAGAAAUAAUUUUAUAAAAUAAUUUUAUAUAAAAUAUACUAAUAUAAAUUAAUUAUUUUAUUUUUAAAAAUAUAUUUAAACAUUGUUCUACACUUUUUAUCCAAAUGCUACUAAAGAUAUCUUCUAAAAUAUUUUCGAAUGCAUCCAAAUACAAAUUUAUAAUUGUUCUAUCUUGUACUGAAAUAUUUCCUGUUUUCGGGAACAACAAAAAUUAUUCUCCAAAAUUGAAUUCUCCAACCAAACGUAGUCUAGGUGUCUAGCAACCGUGUUAGAUUCUUAUGAUAUUGAUAACUAUUUAAAACAUCCAAAGAUUAAUUUGACCAUUAAGAUCAAAUUUAGGGCAUGUUUGGUUGGCCGUGAGUGAAACAAUUAAAGUGGUAUUUUGGCGAAGUGGAAUUAUUUCAAUUGUUUGGUUUAUAAAAGUAAACAGGUAAGUGACUUUUGAAAAGUGAACUUGUAAAGUAGAUUAUAAUUAAAAUUCAUUUUUUUGACUUCGGCAAAAAAAAUUCCAAAGUCAUUGAAAGUGGGCCGCCUACUUCACGCGACUUACGAACAGCAUCCAAAAACUUUCUUCCAUACCAUCUACAAAAAAUAAAAAAUAAAAAAUAAAAAAAAACCACCGUAUCUUAACAAAAAAAAAACCAACACAUCUUUAAAAAAAACAAAAAAAGAGACGUGCCUUAUUCCAUACCAUCUAAAAAAAAUUAUUUUAUUUUUUUAUUUUCUUAUAUAGAACCAAACAACAAGUAAAGUCAUAAAAACUGUAUUUUUUUCUUUCACUUUUUUGAAAUUAAACACUUGAAUUCAAAAGUGACUUUUAUAAAAGUCACAUUUUGAAAAGUAACUUUUUUCACUUUGAUCACUUACGAACAACCAAACAUGCCCGUAAAAACCCGUUUGGUGACAAGUGGAGCAAAUGUGUUUCCUUUUAUCAAACAUGAAUUUUAGAAGCAAAUUAGGUAGAAAAGCUACAGAAGCUAACUUUUUUUUUUUUUUUUUUUUUUUUUUUUUUUUGGGGGGGGGGGGGGGGGGGGGGGGGGGGGGGGGGGGUAAAUCCUAAAGUCAAGUUUUACGAGUAAUUUGACUUAUGGGCCGCCAGAAUUAAUUUGAAAUAGUUUUAUAUAUAAGGUGGCUAAAUUUUUUAAUCUAAAUUAUAGUACUUUAGACGAUGGUUAGUUUCAAGAGAUUAAGAAGGUUAAGCAAGCCUAGAGAAGUGGGGCGCCACAAUAAACUUCACAUUGCCCUCCUGUGGUACAACGCAUUUUCACUUUGCACCCACUUCUCCGUUUCAAAAUGUGUAUUUACCCCUUGAUUUAAUUUACUUUCGCUUUAUCAUUUUAGUGGUUCAAAAAGUUACAUUUAACUAUCGUAUGGUUUAACGCAUUUUUUACAUUGUCACUGUAUAGUUUUCAAACUUUUUUACUUUGCCACACUAUUUGACAUAUAAUUUUUGAUGAAAUAAUAAUUAAACCAUGAGGGCCAAACUGCAAUUUUUUGAACUAUGGGGUAACAAUAUAAAAAUGCUUUAUACCCUAAAAUUCAUGCCAAAGUUUCGAUGUAAAAAAUAAUAGUCUAAGAUAAGAUUUGAAAGUAAAAUUUAUAUACUAGUGAAGGUAUCUGUGCGUUGCGGCUGGUCGAUUUUGCAAAAGCAAAUAAAUAAAAGAAGUUGAAAAAAGAAAAAAAAUAAAAGCAUAAAAAUUAAAAGAAAAGAUUAAAAAAUAAAAAGAAUAAAAAUAGAAUCAACUGAUCAAGAAAAAGCAGCUUUAAUAAAAUAGAAGAAGGAUAAAAGAAAAUUAAAGAUAAAAUCAUAAGAAUAAUAAAUUAUGCUUAUAGCAACAAUAAAAGUUGAGGACUAAAUGUCACAUGUCUCAUAGUUCGAGCGAAAAUUUUUAAUUAAUUAAAGUUUGAGAACUAAAGUGUCAUGUGCCUCAUAUAUUGAGCCAAAAAUUGCAUUACAUUAAAGUUCAAAGGCUAUAGAUCACGUGCAUUAUAGCCUUUGACCAAUAGUGUAGUUUAUCCUUUUUUAUAUUUUAUUUUUAUUCCAGACAAAGAUAGUGUUGAACAUUGUUUUGUUCAAUUAAUAAUUUUAUUUGAGGAAGGAACCUGCUAAACUAUCUAAUAAAAUUUAGAAUACAUGAUUAUUAAAAUUAAAAGUUGACCAAUCAUAUUUGGAAUAUUUUGUCCUAAAUGAUUCUGAACGUGAUUAACGAUCAAUUAUAUUUUGAAUAUUCUAGAAGAUUGUGAACGUAAAGUUGAUCGCUCAUCAUACUAUAAAUAUAAUAUUAAAGUUUGAUAUUAAAUCAAAGUAUAUAGUACUUUCUUAAACUAUGGACCAAUUUGAAUUGGCUAUCAACCUUUCAAAAUAUUAUUUUUAGUAUUCAACGUCUCAAUUUGUUUAAUUUAAGUCAGUUAACGAUACUUUGAUUUUAAAAUUUGAAUGUGUCGUUUAUUUUUACAGAUUACUUAGUAUACUUCAUACAAUUUUUGUAAUUAUAAAUUUAUUAAUAUAAUUAGCUUAAACUCUAUCAAUCUUCUCUCUUUUUUAUUAUACAAUUUAUAUCUAAGUGAUAAUAUUAUGAAAUUAAAAUUUAUAUUUAAUAUAUGCUAUCUUAGCUAUGUACAAAAAAAUAUAUAUAAUUUAAAUAUUUUAUUAAGAGAAGGAGAUUUGGUGGGAGAAAACAAGGUGGGUCCCACCCUUGCCUAUAUAUGCCCAAAUUUACUUACAGUGAGAAAGAUAGAGAGGAGAAUUGGAUAUAAAACAAAAACAAAAAAGGGCCACCGAAGCCACCAUUGUACACAGCACUAUGAGACUGCCACGUAGAUGCAUAGAAACUAAAAUGCAUAUAAAACUAGGGAUUCAUAUAUUUCUAGAGGUUAAUUUUGUAUAGAUAUCUACAAAUAUAGUGAAUUAUAAAUAUAUUCAUACAAAGUUCAACUUUCAUAUGUUGUUUCUGUAAAAGUCAUGAUAUUUUCAAAUAUGUCCCUAUUAUUAGAAUCUGUUAGAAAAAAUUAGUUAACUAUAGAUAAAAUACUUAACUCUAGUUCGUUAAUGAGAUGAAUUAACCUUUUUACCUCUCUUGAAUUAAUAGUUGGGACUUUUAGAGAGACAUAUUUAUAAUGGUAAAAAGGUUAUUUUCACUUAUAAAAUAAACAGUAUUUUAACGGUAAGAAAUCAGAAUAAUAUAUUUGAAACAAUUAGGACUUUUGUAGGGACAACAUAUGAAAGUUGAAAUUUAUAAGGAUACAUUUAUAAUUCACUAUGUUUGUAGGAACAUGUAUGAAAUUAACCCUAUUUAUAAUAUAUAUAGAUGUUUUAUCUAUUUAAUUUUUGUGUUAACAAUUAAAGAUUAGAUUUUUCUAAAUAAUUGAUCUCUCUGUAAUGUAAUUAAUUGUAAUCGGUGCUAAAGAAGAUUCAUUCAAUUGUAAUCGGUGCUAAAGAAGAUUCAUUCUGUUUGAUCUAAUCAAUCAACUAAAAUUAGCUCUAACGAAAAUAUUACCUAAUAUAAUCUAACAUAGUCUAAGGAAUCUUGCUAUAUAAUCAAGUUAGUCCAGCUAGAGUGCUUUUGAAAGUAUAAAUACUUCUGCGCUUCCAAAUUAAUUUUUCAUUUACCAUGGAACAUCUAAAUUGAAGAUUGGGCUCCAUUUAAAAUGAUCUACAAAAUUAAAAGUAUCUAGAGUGCCAAAUUGUAUUGCACAUGUCUCUGACAUGCUUAAUUUCAUGCAUGUUAGUCGGUCUUGUAUUUUGGUAUUGAUUUUACACUCAAUGGCUGCCCCCCCCCUAUUUUUUUUUUUUUUUUUUUUGAGGAAAGAUGGUAGCACGCUACCCGAUUCAUUCAUUGAAAGUAUAACUAGGCUACAUGGCGGGCCAACUUAAGUGCCUCCGCAGAGAGACAAAAAAAAAAAAAAUCGGAAAAAAAAAAAAAAAAAGAAAAAGAAAAAGGGGUGUUAGGAAGGGGGGGGGGGGGGGGGGGGGGUGAGGGGUGUUGGUUAGGAAGGGGUUUUGCUUUGUUGGAAUAGAAAAUCCCACUCCGACGGUAGCUGUUUAAGCUUGUGUGUACUAACAUAGGAUUUUCGGGAUCGGAUAUUUCUAAAGAUCAUAUCAUUUCUUGCCUUCCAAAUAGACCACCAGCAUCCUACCAAUUCGGAUAAGCUGCUUCUCGUCUUAUGGCAUCCCUUCCUAUUCAUCCACGAUCCAAACUAGGAUUACAUCGUUUCCCAGGUCCCUUGCCUCUACGCCGUCCACUCCCGUCGCGAUGAUAAACUUGCUGAACACACACCGCGUGAACAGGUGGUCCACUGAUUCCUCUUCCGCUCCGCAAAAUACGCAAUCUAAGUUUCCCACCCACCCACGCUUCACGAGUAAAUCGGUUGUAGGGAGCCUCUUCUUGAAAACGAGCCAACAUAACACUUUUACUUUAAGGGGAAUAUGGAGUCUCCAAAUCUUGCUUAUAGAAGGGGCCCUCAUUACCCCGUCAGAUAACGCUAAAUAGGUUGUAUUUACCGAGAAAAGUCCGUUAGGGCUCCAACGCCAAUAUAACUGGUCUGGCCUUUGUUCAACUGUGAAGUAGGAUAUCCUUUCCUUGAAUUCUACAAUGUUAUCAUUAAUCCCAACAAAAAUUUCGGGCUCCGCACCCAGAAUCCUAUGCCAGUUCCAACUGUCUCUCAUGAAGCAAUCCCUAACUUUAAGUUUUUUUCACUCAGACAUCUGAUAGACCUCCGGGAAUGCUAGGUCUAGCGUGGUCUCCCCACACCAGCGAUCUAGCCAAAAGUCGAUAGAGUUCCCAUUGCCUAGUUUAAAGAUGGCUCCCCAUUUGAAGAUGACGCUCAGGCUAAGGACUCUUUUCCACCAAUGAGAGUGUGGCCUAAAAGAUUUGCCUUCCAUCGAAGGUCUCCUCCUUUGGUAAUAUAGUUCCCGGAUUACUCUAUUCCACUGCAAUUGGGGAGCCGUGUGGAACUUCCACCACCAUUUAGUCAGUAGGGCAUGGUUCAUGGUCAUUACUUCCAGGAUGCCUAGGCCACCUUCUCUCUUGCUCUUACAAACGUUCUUCCAGGUUAUCAGACAUCCUUUGCCAGGAGAGUUACGUCCCCCGUUCCAAAAAAAGUUUCGACGGAGAGCUUCGGUACGCUUUAUCACCCAUUUAGGUGCCUUGGUCGAAUGCAAGAUCUUCGCCAACAUUAGCAAGGCUCUUGAUCAAUGCCUUAUCUCAAACGUAUAGGAGGACAGCUUUCCCAAAUCCCAACACAUCCCUAUACCACUCUCACCCAGGUCACCUCUGAUCAUACACCUACCCUACCCUAGCUACGUAUAUAUAUUUGAGCCCUCCAUACCUUCACCUAAGAGCUUAAAUUCGAAUUACUUUGGCUUAAAUACCCAUCCAUCCAUUCUUGAUUUCAGAAGCUUGGAGCUAUUCCCCUCUAUCCGACAACUUUACCAAUAAGUUUCUUAAUAAGCUAUCCCUGGUCCACAAAUCCUUAUCGAAAUGGAAACAAAACAAAUCACGAGCUACAAAUCUUGUAUCAAUCGCAUAGUUAGUGGAAUAACAUUAGCCAUUGCCUGAGGCGUGCGGAACCGCUAGGUGUAUGCAUAAAAUGAAAUUGGAAGAACUUAUCAAUUUAGAAGAAAUUAAAUGGAGGCAAUGUUCCCGUGUCACAUGGCUCGAUGUUGGGUUAGUGAUAUCAAAUUCAUUUAUUAGCCUAAUUGGUUUUAUUUUGGGUUUGGUUCAACAACUCAUGUAAUGGGCUAGUUAGUAAUUGAUUUGGGCUUUAGUUGACCCAUUUGGCAUAUUGGGCCAAGUGAUGUUAAGAGAAAUUCUCUUUGGCUCUGUUUGGCAAUGGUAUUGUGUCAUAGGGGAUAAAUUUUUUUAUCCUUGGUAUAUUUCAAUAUUCUAGAAUAGAGAGGAAUACCAAUAAUUUUUUGUUUGGAUGGAGUAAAGUGGGAGUGCGGGAGUCGAGGCGUCAUAAAUAGAGAGUGCGUGGGUCGAGGCAUCAUAAAAAGAAGGAAAAAAAUCACUUGUUUAUUGCUCCACCUUUGAAUUCAUCAGGAAUAAAUUUUAUUCUACAGGUGGGAGAGAAUAUGAUUAACGGGUUAUUCUAGGAUCAACUAGAAUAACCCGCUUUGACUAGAAUAAAUUAUACUUGACAAAUUUUAUUGUGUUUGGAAGAAUAAUAAGGAUAAAAAGGGUUAUUCCUCAGAUAUUCCGUUACCAAACAUAGCCUUUGGGUUUAGAAAGAGAGAAUUCUCAUUUGUUUUGCUCUCUAGGUUUUCCCUUUUCUUGUAAUAGAGAAGAGAGGUGUAGAGAGGGUUGGAGAAGGAGCUCUCUUGUUCUUCUUGCUUGAUUCAAAGCUUCCAAGGUUGAUUGGAGGAAUUCUAAGAGGCAUUUCGAAGCGGGUUUCGCGGAUUCGGAAGGUGCUUUAGAUAAAAGUGUAGCAAGAAGGUUUUUUCCAAUUAGAAGGUUGCAAGUCCAUUGUAAUAGAGUGGUAAUCUCUAACCAAAUCUUGUAAUCUCCUCAUUUGAUAGUGGAUUUGAUCUCUCCGUGCCCGUGGAUGUAACCCAGUUUGGGUGAACCACGUAAAUCUUGUGUUGUUGUUGUGGUUGUGCUUGGAUUUUUCUCUUUCAACUUCAUUUACUCCAAUCUUGCAUAUCUUGAUUGUGGAUAAUUUAGAUACAUCACAUUUGCUUACUAGUGUAAUUAGUAUCUUGAUAGUGAGGGUUCCGUCAUUAGCUCACUACACUCGAAGAAGGGGAUUGCAUGCAACACUAAUAUAUUUCCAAUAAGUAGCUACGGUAGGAAGAUGCGUAAAUACAUCCACUCCAUCAGGGUCGCGAACACUCUUCUUGACUCGGCAUAACUCCAUUGCUGAUGCUUUUCUUGAUCACUUUAAAUCAAUCAUCGGUACUGUGCACAACUUCACUGUGCAACUAGCUCUCGAUCCUGGACGUAUCUGUACUUGAAGAACCAUUCAGAGAAAAAGAGCUCCAUGAUGCCUUUAAUUUGGACCCGACGACUUUCCAUUGAAGUUCUUCCAACAUUAUUGGGAUAUAAUUCAAUCCGAUUUGCUUGACUUACUACAUGACUUUUAUAUUGGUGCUUCGCAUCUGCAUGGUUUAAAUAGUUGCUGGAUUUCUUUACUUGGCAAAAAGCUGAUCCAACACACACCUCCCACUGUCGGCCCCUUCCCCUUUUAUGAAAUAUCACAAGAAUCUUUUCAAAAUUACUUAACUAAUCAUCUACACCUAAUCAUUUCCGACUUGGUUGCACUAACAAAGUCAGUUUCAAGAAUCCUUCCAUGACUCUUUUGUCACUGCUCAUGAGCUCAUUAAUCUCUCCCUCAAACAAGGCCCAAAGUUUAUUCUUCCUGUAGAAUGCAAUGAAAAUAUUCGUUCAUACCUUUUUCGAAAGCAACUCGCGCUAGAUCUCGAUAACUCCCGAAUUGUAGAUAUUGAUUCACAUGUUCUCGGAUCGUCCACGAUGGUCUUCUAACGCUCCAAACCAGCGGUAGAUCGAGCUACGAACGAGUUAGAUGUAUAAUCUACCGUUCAAGGCCCUCUAGAAGCAAUAGGUUAAUGGUGAAUUUGAUUUUGUUCUCUCACAAGAUAGCUCACAAAUUUCUCACAGAUUUAUAAAUUUUUUUUUUUUUUUGGUACAUCUUUAUGAGAAAAUCGUCUGUAUAUUUAUAAAGAAUCCCAACACCCUAAUAAGUAAGUCGAAAAUUAGACCGAAUCAGUUUAUAAUUGCUAUCCUAAUAUGGCUAGAAUAUAUUUCUAAUUAACUUUUCAAAUUAAAAUCAAGUUUAAGCCUAGUCCAAUUAGACAAUGUAAUAACCGUUGGAUCGAGUUCGAUCAUGGAUGCACUUGAGUCAGUUGGCGCACCCAAUUCGGUUAAAUCGAAUGCCAACACUUCUCAAAGUUGACCUCAUGAAAGCUUUUAAUAGCAUAGCUUGGAAGUUUAUUUUUAAACUACUUGAAUGUCGACGCUUUGGCACCAAAUAGAUUUCUUGGAUCAAAAUUCUUUUUCACUCAAAUACAAAUGCUGUCAUAAUUAAUGGAUUCCCUGGACAAUGUUUCCCUAGCCAAUAAGGUGUUUGACAAUGUGACCUACUAUCACACUUACUCUUUAUUCUUGCACUAGACUCACUUCACAGACUUCUUCAAAGAUCUUCAACCAUUAAGCGCAUAAAUGACUUUGUCUACAAUCCUUGCACAAUCAUUCUAAUCCACUAUGUAGAUGAUACUAUUUUCUUCAUCAGUGUAGAUCUAAAACAAGUGGCGACAAUCAAAUAUUGUCACGCCCCGGGACCGGCGGAGGCCCUCCCGGUAGCGUGCCCAGACCCGCCAUAUGUCUGCACAUAUAAGGCGUCUACAACAAAAGCGGAAGUAAAAGCAAGAGAUAGAACAAAUAAAAGAAGUGAAAUAACACGCAACUAAUGAUAUCAGAGUGAGUAAAGUUCUAACAUCUACACCAAGGUAAGGAAGUAAAGCUAGACAAUAAAAAGAGUCAUAAGAAGUACAAUGACAGUCUCUAGUACAAAAAUGGUGGUCUCUAGUACACUGGUAAAACACUCAACCUCUCGUAAAAUAGAACAUAAAUCGAGAGGUGGACCACCUAGCAACUCGUCCUCGAAGGAAGCUAGCUCGAAGCAACUCCCUUCCCGCGAUCCCUGGCCUCACCCUGAGUGGAAGGCUCUGUAAAACAUCGAGAAAAAGAGGGCGUGAGAACUAUAAUUUAUAGUUCCCAGUGGGCAAUUACUGACCUCAACUCAAUGCACCACUAGGCCCCAAAAGGAAAGGGUAAGUACUAAAGCAAUAAUAAGAGUAAUAGCAACAACAAUACGAUAGCAUAAAUGAAGUGCUAAACCGCUAUAUCUCAAGUAAACAUGAUGUCAUGGUGAUGUACAUCUACGCUGUCAUAAGAUAAUAUGUCCAAUGCAUAAAGAGUAAGCUCUAACCAAGCAACCGAGUAUCCUACGAUGCAAUAAUGAAACCGGUAAGUACGCUAUAUGCACCAAUGCUAUAUCAUGAGCAUGUCAAGGUAAUCCAACUACUAAACCUAUCUAGUAGUGAUUAUUCAUAUUCAACACCGUGUCGAUUUUCAUUUCCAAUUGGGGACCUACCAAAGGUAGUCCAGCUUGUGCCGCCUAAGUGCCUGUGGUAGCCCGACAUUCCUACUCUUGGAAUGUGUCUGUCCCACUCGGCCCCGUAGGCUUCUCAAUACCGCACGAACGAACAUAGUCGCGUAGGCUAACUCCGGAGUGCCGGCUUGUAGGGAGCGACCCUCACAAGCAUGUGCGAAUGAGCACAAAUGGCAAGCAAGCAUGGUCCAAGUCUCAAAUAUCCAAUCCUCAUGUCCCUAACAUGGUAUCAUAACUAGCAUCCCGAAGAUCUAGUCUAAGUCACAAUAUGAAGUUUCAACAUUUGCUACGCCUAGUGCCCCUUGAUGACACUUAGGCAAUUUGAUGUUCGACAUGUUUUCCAAAUCCCUCAAUGGCCCUAUCCACUAAAUUCACACAAGUCCUGAGCUCAAUGCCGCUUGAUGACAUUAGCUCUCCAAUACACAUGAUAUCAAGUUCGAUGCCUACAUAUGAAGCAAUUGUCAUCUUUCAUGUCUCAAUUAAACUUAUGUUUAAACGCAUGAUUCAUAGCUCAUUUACUCUCUAGAACCAUGAAAUCAAACCCCAUAUAGAAUGCUAAAUGCAACCCAAGAUCUCCCAAACAACUCUCUACUACAUAGAGGUCCAAAGAUACAUCAUAUAUAACAUAUGCAUUUUAAGCAUUCUAAAAAUCAUAAUAAAUACAUUUAACAUGAAAAUGCAUGAAUUAAUUGGUAACAAAGCACUUAUCACCAAAUAUGAGAUUUUCUCAUAUCAAAGGCUAGGUCAAACCCACCGACGACAACGAAGCUUUUCGUUUGCUCCGAUGGAGGUAUCCACUAGCUUCCUAGCACCCUAGGAACAUCAAAAUCAGUGUCAUCCAAUCGAUACGAAGAGCAAUAAGCUCGAUCUUUAACCUAGAAGCAAAAAGGGGUCAAACUCACCUCAAGAGUAGAAAUCUCUUCCUAUGCUCCAAAAGGGAGCUAGAACCCUUCCAAUCUAACCUAGAGGAAGGUUCUAAUCCAACCAAUUGAGCUUCAAAAGCCCUAAAACGAAAAUGCCCAAAGUAAACCCUAAAAUCCCAAAUCUAGGGUUUCAUCUCAAUGAAACCUUCAAAAACCAAAAUUAGAGGAAAGGAUCUUGCCACUUACCUCUUAGAAGCCUCAAACUCAGCUCAAAGUUCUCAAACUUCAAGUAUCUUCCCUCAAUCAAACUCCAAACCCAAGCUCCAAGCUUCAAAAAUGGUGGAAAUGGCUCCAAGAGACAAAAGAGAGGGAAAAACCAUCAAAAUCCAAGCUAAAAUGGGAUCAAAUCCAAAAGGGUUGAAGGGGAGAGGUGCCCUACCUUUUUCCCUGCAGUGGAGAGCUCAAAGAAAGGCCCUAGAGACGUGGGUGCUGAUAUAUAGAGACCCACAAACGCAAAAACACCCCUGCAGUACAAACUGUGCAGAAUCUGCCUCCUUGUACCGGUACACGGGAUCUUGUACCGGUACAAGAGCUACGAAAAUGCGAAACCGAGGCUCGGGGGUGCGCUGUCCUGCGGCACUGUACCGGUACAAGCCGAUGGCUGUACCGGUACAACCAUCAACAUUGUACCGGUACAAAACCAUCCUUGUACCGGUACAAGACCUUCGAAAAUGCAAACCCGAGGCGUGGGUUUGCGAGUUCUCGGCUCGUGUACCGGUACAGCGCCCAACCUUGGGAUCUAAACUAUGAAUCCCAAAUAAAAGAGAGCUGACCAAAAUCCAAAUUUUUGGGUUUUGGUGCAAGGCUUUGUACCACACUCCUCGGGACACGUGCCAUAGGUCGGAACACAGUCAAUGACCUACCAGAAAAUCUGGAAAAACUCCGGACACUGUCCAAGCACUCGAACCUCGCAAUUUGCAAAGGUCCAGUGCGUCACAAAUAUCUUCUCACAUCAUUUUGUGUCUAUCACACCCCAGGGUACAGUUCAACCUGGGCUCGCCAACAGAUCCGCCGCAUACGCAGGAAGCUCUGUGUACAUGAAGCGAUAGAAGUACCUGUAAAGUAUACAAGAACUACUACAAGCAAGUAACAAAGUUGAAAAAGAACUACUAAAACUAAAAUACAAUCCACUGUACAUACAUACAUACAUACAUACAUACACACAUACAUACAUACAUACAUACAUAAGAUCUAAGGAGUACAAAAAACCACAUUUCACAACUCUAAAAUGUAAAAUGUACAAAGACUAUACUCAAAAGCUAUCUCAAAAUGGUAGACCACUAGCACAACUCAUCGAAAUAGGUAGGGAUCUAACUUACGACUCCCUUACCUCGAUCAUUGGCAGCAACAGGAACGGGGAGCUUUACAAGAAAAAGAAGUAACAAUGGACGUGAGAACUACUAUACUAUAUACAAGUAGUUCUCAGUGGAUACUGUCACCAAUGCCGACGAUCUGCCCACUAAGUCUACGAAAGCUGAAAGAGAAGCUGGAUAAGCAGAGUAGAAGUAGUAAAGUUGAAAAGAAAUCUACAAUUACAAUGCCACUCCACUACACUACAAAUGCUCAAGUCACACUAUCACUAAAGUGCAUGCAUAAACUAUCUACCAAACUGACAUCAACUAACUCAAUCCAAAAGGACCGCCACCAGGUCGGUCCAGCUUGUGUCAACCUAAGUAACACACCACCCUCGGAGGUGGCUGAACUAAGAUAGGUCACCCAAAAGGGUUGUUGCAACAUUAACACACUAAAGGCCAAGCUCCGGAGCGGCACUCGAGGGCUGUGACCCCACCGAAGAAACAGCGUACUCUGUCGAGCUCAAAUCUGGCUCAUGUCAGAUUGUAGUCGAUGCAAAUGAUCAAUCAGGUCAAAAAACAGAAACUCACAUGCCCUCGGCACAAUUUGAUACAAAAAUUGAAGAUAUGGGACCGCCGUCAAUCUGGAUGGCACCCUACUAUACUAUCUAGUCUAAACUUUGCUGUAAAAAUUCACUUGUCCCCUCAGCACAAGCGUAAAUUCAUUCUACACUAAUCCAAACACUUACAACCCUCUAACUAGGGUGAGAAAGGAGUAAAAACAGUAAACAAAGUUAAUUCUUAAUGAAGGGAAUUAACAUCAAUAUAGUGCACGUUUUCUCCUAGUUUUGAAUUCCAACUCAGCAUCAAAAAUCACUAAGAAUGGAUUUAGCAUGCUCAAGGUUCCGAUUACAACAUUCAUCAUGUCAAUCUAGUAGUUCUAAGUUAACACAUUUAUUUUAGAUAAGCAUAAAGCAUACCUGCUGGAAUUUAGUGAACUUAGUGAGAAAUCCAUCGAAUUCGAUAAAUUUGAACCCAUCUGGAGCGCUAAUAUGACCAUGAAUCAAACUAGAACUACACAAGCACUUUCCCCCAGCUCCAAUUAACAGGGAAGUGAAGAAAAAAUCCAAUGAAUCCUUGCUAGAUUUAACGGAAUCAAGGAUUGAAUAGAGAUUCUAGCGAAAGUCGACAAUAUAAGCAAUGUCGACUUAGGAAUCAAUUUUACUUAACAAUAGGUCAAUGUACAAUAGAAUUCAGUUAGGAGCAACUUCAAAUCAGCUAAAAGUUAGGUGUAGACCAGCUAGAAUCCCCUAAUUACAUCAUAAGAGAAAGUUAGAGUCAUAACUCCCAAGAAGAUUAGCUCAACAUCCAAUUUCAGCAUUGAAUCAAAAUUACCUUGAUUAGAGGCCAAAUACCCCACAAUUCAGCUGAACAAUUUGACUCCCAACUCCUUCUAACGAGAUGAUUCACGAGCAUGCUCUAAUUUAUAGUUGGAAGCAUCAAAAUCCAUCAAAUCUCUCUUCAAUACCUAGCUGCCACUGUUGAAGGCUAAAGCUACAGCUGCUGCUGAAAUUGUAGUUUAUAGCUGCAGUUUUUUGAUCUACAAAGAGAACCAGUGCAAGGAGAAGGUAUGGGGCAAUCCAAGAGUGAUCUCAGGUUCCUUUGCCAUAGGAUAAGUUGAAUAAUUACCUCUAAAUUCCAUCAUAAGAGUGAAAUUAGAGCUCAAGAAUUCAGUUUCAUAUAAAAACUAUUUUUCAAUUUACAAUGUCAAUGAAAACUGAAAUUCUCACUCUACUUACCUCCAAAUUGAUCCAAAUAAGAUUCCAGUCACCAGAGGAUGAAGUUAAGAUCACUCCCAACCCUUCCAAAGUUCAGUUCCUAGAAGAAAUUCAAACGAAUUUUAUCAAAUCCAAGAUUGGCCCAAAUCAGUCCAGAAUUUCAGAAUUCCGCAUUAUCUCUUUUCAACUUUAAAAUUAGAGCUUCUAACCUGAUUUUCCAGCAAGAGAAACACAAAUUGAGUCCUAACCACCCCUUACACAAGUAUAUGCCUUCAAUUUUGAAGUUGGAGCUCCGAAGAUUACCCAAUUAAACUUCUCUCUCCAAUCCCCCUACUGCCAGCUGUUGUGAGUCUGCUGGCAAUAGGCUGUUGGAUUCUGCAGCCAAUGCAGUGGCAACAACCCUUUAGUUGCACUUCACUACUUUCCUACAACAGCUACAGGAAGUAAAGAUGAAGAAUAAGAUAAUGGUGAGUGAAGAAAGGAAAGAAGAAAAAAAGUGCAUCAAUACCCUAUUGCCACUCCGCUGCAACACUACUCCCUCUGCUGUUGUUGCUGCUGAUGGCUGCACCAAUGCUUCUGGCUAUGUUGCACAGAUACGGAUACGGGAAUACGGAUACGACACGAUACGGAUACGGUGAUACGGCAAUUUUUAAAACUUCGAGGAUACGAUAAGCGAGAUAUACUUGAAUAAAAUAUUAUUUUAAAUAUAUUUAAAUAUAUGUUGAUUAUAUGUAAUGAUAGGGGUUUUUUUGCAUUUGG